GUGGUGCACAGUUUGUGUGAGGGAUGAUGCAGGGUAUGUGUGUGUGUGAGGGAUGUAGAGUGGCCACUCUAAAAUGUGCAGUUUUACUGUAUUGGGCAUGUCUGGGGGAAUCCAAAAACCAGUCAGUAGCUGGUGUGACCACCAUUUGCCUCACGUAGUGCAACACAUCCCCUUUGCAUAGAGUUGAUCAGGUUAUUGAUUGUGGCCUGUGGAAUGUUAGUCCACUCCUCUUCAAUUACUGUGCGAAGUUGCUGGAUAUUGGCAAGACCUGGAACACGCUGUCAUAAACGUCGUUCCAGAGCAUCCCAAACAUACUCAACGGGUGACAUGUCU